rnacentral:rRNA from 1 species
GAAGGGUGCAAGCGUUACUCGGAAUUACUGGGCGUAAAGCGUGCGUAGGCGGUUUGUUAAGUACUGCCGUGAAAGCCCCGGGCUCAACCUGGGAAUGGCGAUGGAAACUGGCGAGCUAGAGUACGGUAGAGGAGAGUGGAAUUCCCGGUGUAGCAGUGAAAUGCGUAGAGAUCGGGAGGAACAUCAGUUGCGAAGGCGGCUCUCUGGACCAGUACUGACGCUGAGGCACGAAAGCGUGGGGAGCAAACAGGAUUAGAUACCCUGGUAGUCCACGCCCUAAACGAUGCGAACUGGACGUUGGGAGCAAUUAGGCUCUCAGUGUCGAAGCUAACGCGUUAAGUUCGCCGCCUGGGGAGUACGGUCGCAAGACUG